rnacentral:tRNA from 1 species
AUAGUAAUAAGUUAAAUUAUAAAACUACGUGAUUCAUGAUCAAAUAAUGGAAAUUAAAUUCCUUACUGUA